GACCAGACUCCUACGGGAGGCAGCAGUGAGGAAUAUUGGUCAAUGGCCGGGAGGCUGAACCAGCCAAGUCGCGUGAGGGAAGACGGCCCUACGGGUUGUAAACCUCUUUUGUCAGGGAGCAAGGUGCAGGUCGGGACCUGCUGUGAGAGUACCUGAAGAAAAAGCAUCGGCUAACUCCGUGCCAGCAGCCGCGGUAAUACGGAGGAUGCGAGCGUUAUCCGGAUUUAUUGGGUUUAAAGGGUGCGCAGGCGGAAGAUCAAGUCAGCGGUAAAAUUGAGAGGCUCAACCUCUUCGAGCCGUUGAAACUGGUUUUCUUGAGUGAGUGAGAAGUAUGCGGAAUGCGUGGUGUAGCGGUGAAAUGCAUAGAUAUCACGCAGAACUCCGAUUGCGAAGGCAGCAUACCGGCGCUCAACUGACGCUCAUGCACGAAAGUGUGGGUAUCGAACAGGAUUAGAUACCCCGGUA
rnacentral:rRNA from 1 species